rnacentral:pre_miRNA from 1 species
UCUUAUAGAUAAUCAAAGAAAGUGGUUUCUUGAGAUGGAAUCUACUCCCGGUAGGUGAAGAUGAUGUGAA